rnacentral:rRNA from 1 species
GGUUUGAUCGCGUCAGAUUGAACGCUGGCGGGAUGCUUUACACAUGCAAGUCGAACGGCAGCACGGACUUCGGUCUGGUGGCAGUGGCGAACAGGUGAGUAAUGUAUCGGAACGUGCUAGUAGCGGGGGAUAACUACGCGUAGCUAAUACCGCACAUACGCCCUUCGGGGAAAGCGGGGGACCUUCGGGCCUCACUAUUGGAAGCGGCCGAUAUCGGAUUGGCUAGUUGGUGGGGUAACGGCUCACCAAGGCGACGAUCCGUAGCUGGUUUGAGAGGACGACCAACCACACUGGGACUGAGACACGGCCCAGACUCCUGCGGGGAGGCAGCAGUGGGGAAUUUUGGACAAUGGGGAAACCCUGAUCCAGCCAUCCCGCAUUGUGCGAUGAAGGCCUUCGGUUCAUAAAGCACUUUUGGCAGGAAAGAAACGGCACGGGAUAAUACCCCGUGCGGCUGACAGUACCUGCAGAAUAAGCACCGGCUAACUACGUGCCAGCAGCCGCGGUAUUACGGUAGUGCAAGCGUUAAUCGGAAUUACUGGGCGUAAAGCGUGCGCAGGCGGUUCGGAAAGAAAGAUGUGAAAUCCCAGAGCUUAACUUUGGAACUGCAUUUUUAACUACCGAGCUAGAGUGUGUCAGAGGAGGUGGAAUUCCGCUUGAUAUUAGCAGUGAAAUGCGUAGAUAUGCGGAGGAACACCGAUGGCGAAGGCAGCCUCCUGGGAUAACACUGACGCUCGUACUGCAAGCGUGGGAGCAAACAGGUUAGAUACCACCCCUGGUAGUCCACGCCUAAACGAUGUCAACUAGCUGUUGGGGCCUUCGGGCCUUGGUAGCGCAACUAACGCGUGAAGUUGACCGCCUGGGAGUACGGUCGCAAGAUUAAAACUCAAAAGGAAUUGACGGGGACCCGCACAAGCGGGAGUGGAUGAUGUGGAUUAAUUCGAUGCAACCGCGAAAAACCUUACCUACCCUUGACAUGUCUGGAAUCCCGAAGAGAUUUAGGAGUGCUCGCAAGAGAACCCGGAACACAGGUGCUGCAUGGCUGUCGUCAGCUCGUGUCGUGAGAUGUUAAGGUUAAGUCCCGCAACGAGCGCAACCCUUGUCAUUAGUUGCUACGAAGGGCACUCAUGCAAGGACUGCCGGUGAUAAACCGGAGGAAGGUGGGGAUGACGUCAAGUCCUCAUGGCCCUUAUGGUAGGGCUUCACACGUCAUACAAUGGUCGGGACAGGGUCGCGCCAACCCGCGAGGGUAAUCCAGAAACCCGAUCGUAGUCCGGAUCACCAGUCUGCAACUCGACUGCGUGAAGUCGGAAUCGCUAGUAAUCGCGGAUCAGCAUGUCUUGGUGAAUACGUUCCCGGGUCUUGUGCACACACCGCCCGUCACACCAUAGGAGUGGGUUUUACCAGAAGUAGUUAGCCUAACCGUAAGGAGGGCGAUUACCACGGUAGGAUUCAUGACUGGGAACGAAGUCCGUAACAAGGUAG